GUGUCAGCAGCCGCGGUAAUACGGAGGAUCCAAGCGUUAUCCGGAUUUAUUGGGUUUAAAGGGUGCGUAGGCGGUUUAUUAAGUCAGUGGUGAAAGCCCGGAGCUCAACUUCGGAACUGCCAUUGAUACUGAUAGACUUGAGUACAGAUGAAGUGGGCGGAAUGUGACAAGUAGCGGUGAAAUGCUUAGAUAUGUCACAGAACACCGAUUGCGAAGGCAGCUCACUAAAGUGUAACUGACGCUGAGGCACGAAAGCGUGGGGAUCAAACAGGAUUAGAAACCCCAGUAGUCC
rnacentral:rRNA from 1 species